CCUGGAUUGAAAAGUUUAGCCUACACUGGUUUAGAACUCACAUGUUUCUAGCCUCUACCACCACUUGCUGAGAUUCAAGACUUCUUGAACAGCCCCUACCAUAAAUGCUCUGGUCCAUCUCGUGGUGUUCCCGUGUUGCAGGCGGCUGUUGUGGAAGAUGACCAGGACUGAAAACAGAGCAUGCUUUGUAUCAGAGCUUCUCAGACUAUAGACUUCCCAGAUGUUUCUAGGGUAGAAAGACAAAUGUUUCAAGACAAAGCUUCAUUCCAUAGAUCUACAAUGACCUGACAUGGCUUCUGACAGAACAAGCUCCUGGCAAUACCAGUGCCUGACUAAGUUAUAGAAUAUAAUUCCUCAAUUACUUGAAAAUUCUUCAAUCAUAUCGUGCAUAAAUAUGACAAAAAGAAGAUGAGGAUCAGGCCCAGGGCAUAUUCAGAACUGAAUACUUCUUAGUCCUUGGAAUGCCCCAUCCAGAGAGAGCAGAGACAACUCAGCAGCUGAAGAGAAGAGCAGUAUUCUGCUCCUAGGUUUGUUCGUGAAGCCUAUCAUCUAUCCUGCUCCCUGCAUAUCAGGCUCAGCCACCAAACCAUGCUGUUUUAGAAUCUGGACAGAUGCCACAAUGUGUGUACUCAAGAGGAACACAAGUGAGAUACUGUCCAUGGUGAUUGACUUGUCUUGAUGAACUGUUCUGUGUAGGCUUUUGUUUCUCCAUCUAUAAGAUAGAUGGUUUUAAAAGACUGCUUCUUCUAGCUCUCACCUUACAGAAAAACUAUUAAAGGAAAUCAAGAAUGCAGGCAUGGGCAAUGUUCAGUAUUCUUAGCCACUGAGAGUACAUCUUAAUCUAGUAAGCAUGGUUAUCACCAAGAAAAAAAAACCUACAGUCAAUGCUGACAAGGAGUUGAGGAAAGAGGAACCCUUGUUCACUGUUGGUGGCAAUGUGGUCUGGUGAAGUUUUUAUGGAAAUCAAUGUAUAGGGUCCUCAAAAACUCAAACGAGUAUUACCAUAUGGCUAGGCGAUAGCAUUCCUGUGCAAAUAUCCAAAGGCAUCUGAGUUAAUAUACCACAGAGCCAUUUGUGUACCCAUUUAUUGCUGUUCUCUUUACAAAAGCCAAAAUAUUGAAGGAAUCACCCUUGAUGUCUAUUAGCAGAUGACUUGCUAGUAAAAAUAUGGUAAUAUGGUGCAUAUAUACAAUGGAAUGCAAUUUAUCCAUAAAGAAAAGUGGAAUUAUGUCACUUGUAAGAAAUGAAUAUAAUUUAGGACCAUCAAAAGAAAAUAAAGCUGAAUCAAAAC
ensembl:lincRNA Gm26708 predicted gene, 26708